UAGGAAAAAAGGAAGAGGAAAAGCCAACUCAUGCCCAAGAAGAACAGGCUAUUUCCUCUGAGUUUGAUGAAAAAGUAAAAGUAUCUGAAGAAGUUGCAGAAUACAAGGAGGAAGAGAAGAAAGAAGAGAAGAAACUUCAUCGAUCAAGUAGCAGCUCUAGCAGCUCCGUAAGUAUUUUCGAUCAUGGGUAAAAUUUAUCGGUACUCAUUUAUUUACAUCAAAUCAAUAAAUAUAAAAUAAUUAUGUUUCAUAGAUGCAUGUUUUACUUAAUUGUACCUAUUCUUACUUUAUUUUAUGGUAAUUAUUAACAGAGUCACAUCCAGGAUUGAAAGUUUAUGAGUUCCUAUUAUAAUUUUAAAUUAAUAUACAAUAAUAACUGAAUUCACGCUUAUAUAUUUAUUGAUAUUUAAUGAAUUUUUUAAUAAAAAUACUGAAUCUAUGCAAAAAUUACUGGCUUCUCGGAUCCAGAAGCUAUACUCUACAUCCGCCUAGCCUUUGGACAUAGAUUGAGUUGAAACUUGAAAAAAUAUUUUUGAAGUAGUUUUGGAAAAUAAUUUUUGGAAGUUGAAAUUAGUUUGGACAUACAUUUUAUUUGAAAAACAUUUGAAGUUUUGUGAGUAGGAACUGAUUUUCAUCCAAAAUCUACCAUAAACUAGAUUUUGGAAACUUAAAAAAUAUUUUCAGAAAUUUUUCAAAAACAGAUCACUAAUUUGUGGACAAACAAUGUUUUAAAAAAAAAAUGAAAAAAACUUGCCAAAAUGUAUGGCCAAACGAGGGCUUAAAUUUUUUUACACGAUCAGGUCAUAUUUACCUUAUUGUAUCAAGUAACAUGUCUCGUUUUCAAAAUUUACUUCUAGAUAUUCUUCGAAUGACUUGACAGUAUGAAAAACUAAUUACAUCGAUGGUGUAUAUAUAUAUAUAUUUUGAUCAUGUUUACAUGAAUAGCCUCAUCAUAUAGAAAAGCAUCAGCGGCUGUUUUCACGACUCGAACUUUGUAACCUUGCUGUUUGUGUACAACAAAAACUCUUUUUAUAGUUGGAUGAAGCUUAUGUUAAUUGUGAUGAUCUUGCAGAGUGAUGAAGAGGAAGAAAUAGGAGAGGACGGACAGAAAAUCAAGAAGAAGAAAAAGAAGGGUUUGAAGGAUAAGAUCAAGGAGAAAAUAUCUGGAGAACACAAGGAAGAUGAGAAGGCAGAGGACACAGCUGUUCCAGUGGAGAAAUACGAAGAAGCAGAGGAGAAAAAAGGAUUCCUAGACAAGAUUAAGGAGAAGUUGCCAGUUGGCGGCCAAAAGAAGACGGAGGAAGUGGCGCCUCCACCACCGGCUGCGGCGGAACACGAGGCUGAGGGAAAAGAGAAGAAGGGAUUUUUGGACAAGAUUAAGGAGAAAUUACCACGAUACCACUCAAAGACUGAAGAAGAAAAGGAAAAAGAGAAAGAAACUGCAUCUCACUAGAUUAUUACAGCAUGAAAAUGAAUGUUUUUAUUUGUCGCUUUUUUGUUUUUUUGUUUUUGUGUAUGUCAUGAUUGUGUUACUGCUGUUUGGUUAAGCUUUCAUUUCCUUCACUUUUUUGGGGUUUGAAGGAUAAUAGUAUUGUAUUCAUAUAUGUAAGUGCAUAUAGCAUGUGCUUAUGUAUAAAGUUUGAUGUGGAUCUUUCGUUUGUAAAAUGCAGUUGGUUUUGCUUUUCACCUUAUCUUUUGUGUUUUCCUUAAUUACCUAUGUUAAAGCAUUAGGAUAAUUAAACAAGAUA
rnacentral:lncRNA from 1 species